rnacentral:rRNA from 1 species
GACGUAGGGCGCGAGCGUUGUCCGGAUUUAUUGGGCGUAAAGAGCUCGUAGGCGGUGUGUCGCGUCGGCCGUGAAAACCUGCAGCUUAACUGUGGGCGUGCGGUCGAUACGGGCAUCACUGGAGUUCGGCAGGGGAGACUGGAAUUCCUGGUGUAGCGGUGAAAUGCGCAGAUAUCAGGAGGAACACCGGUGGCGAAGGCGGUUCUCUGGGCAUUACCUGACGCUGGAGGAGCGAAAGUGUGGGGAGCGAACAGG